ensembl:lncRNA
AUGGAGGUUCCCAGGCUAGGGGUCUAAUUGGAGCUGUAGCCACUGGCCUACACCACAACCACAGCAACACGGGAUCCGAGCUGCAUCUGAGACCUGCACCACAGCUCAUUGCAACGCCGGAUCCUUAACCCACUGAGCGAUGCCACGGAUCAAACAUGCAACCUCCUGGUUCCUAGUCGGAUUCGUUAACCACUGAGCCAUGACGGGAACUCCGAGAAGUUAAUUCUUUUUUUUUUUUUUGUCUUUUAGAGCCACACCUGCGGCAUAUGGUGGUUCCCAGGCUAGGGGUCCAAUUAGAGCUGCAGCUACCAGCCUACACCACAGCCACAGCAAUGCGGGAUCCAAGCCCCCGUCUGCAACCUAUACCACAGCUCACAGCAACGCCAGAUCCUAAAGCCACUGAGUGAGGCCAAGGGUCGAACCCGUGUCCUCGUGGAUAUUAGUCGGGUUUGUUAACCACUGAGCCACGAUGGGAACUCCUGCCAAGUUAAUUCUUACAAAUUUUUAUGUAUUUAUCUGGUGCUGAAGGAAGCUGCAUAGAAAACUGUGACCCCUGUAGGGAAAGCUGUCCUUUUAUUCCAUUUAAGGUCAACUAACAAUGAUUUGACCCAUCUCACAUGCACAUGUUUUGACCAGUGACUUCUUUUCAUUAUAGGAAGUAUCUACCUCUCUUCUCUCUAGAGCCCUGAACAUAGUUCCCAAUCCCAGAUUAUAGAGCCACUACCACAGGAGAUUAUGUUUCAGACUUUUGUGGACCCUUCCGGGAACCUAACCCUAUUUAUAAAAUUGUUGGUAUGAGAAAGGAUGUUUCAGGUCUCAACUGAUUAAGUAAGAAGCAAGUUUCUGACAUACAAAAAUUCAGAAAUUAGAAUCAUUUUACACUGCACCAGAGAAAAUCUUGAAUUGGUCAGUAACCAUCAAUGCUUCAUUCACUGCCUGAUAUCAGGAGAGUUGCUUAGAAAAAAUUUUUUUUCCAACCAUAUUUAUCUAUCUAUUCAACUUAAAUUUUGAUCUUCAGCUGUGUGCCAAGUAGUAGUAUAAUAAGUGCUAGAGAAAGAGCACUAAAUAAAACAAUGUUACUCAUAUCAGAGAUCUUACUACUGGGGGAAUGUACAUAGGGUAAAGUAAUGUACUAUGUAAAGUGUUUCCCUGUUUCAUGCAUAAAAUUUUGUUUUAAGUAGUAAGUGGUACAAGUAAAAUUUGUACUCUGCUAUAGCAUUAUAAGCUUAUAAACUGAUAAAUAUAACAACAGACACGUGGCAGUUAAUAUGAGCCAGGUUCUGUCCUAAGUACUUCAUAAAUGUACUAGCUUAUUUAAUCUUAACAACCCCAUACAGUAUGAUUAUUAUUGUCCUCACUUUAUAGAGGUACAAAGUGAGAAACAGAGAGAUUAGAUCAAAGGUCAUUUAGUGACCUUGGGUUAAGAUUUAGGCCACAGUAGUUUAACACUUUACCAUCUAUGUUCGUGAUCAUUAUACUCUAUAUUAUACUGUUUUACUUUAAAAAUUGACAUUGUAGAGUUCUCUUGUAGCACAGUUGGUUAAGGAUCGGGCCUUGUCACUGCAGUGGCUUGGAUGCUGCUGUGUGGCAUGGGUUCAUUCCCUGGCCUGGGAACUUCCACAUGCUGCUGGCAUGGCCGGGAAAAAAAAAAAAAAAGACAUUGUGACAGAUUUUUAUGUCCUUUAUGAGGUUUUCUUGAUGGUUAUACCGGUGAUUACUUAUCUAAAGUAAAUUUUAAUCUUUUUCACAUUCUAGGUCAUUCUCCAUAUCCCCUGCUUAACAAAGAAUAAUUGAAUAAUACCAUUUCCUCUUUUUCUGACAUGAGCUAAAAUAUAAAAGAAAUUGAAUCUAGUGUUAGCAUUUCUGCCAGCUCUUACUUAUCUAGAAUUAGGUUUAGUUUUGUGAAACCAGAAUCCAAAAGAAAUUAUUAAAAUAUUUUAGAUCUGCCAUCUCCAACUUUAAAAAAAAAUCAGUUUAAUAGCAAAGUUGAUGGGUUCCAGUUUUAUCUCAUUAAAAAAAAUUAUAUCAAAAUUGCCAAUAAAC